rnacentral:rRNA from 1 species
CCUACGGGUGGCAGCAGUGAGGAAUAUUGGUCAAUGGUCGGGAGACUGAACCAGCCAAGCCGCGUGAGGGAGGAAGGUACAGAGUAUCGUAAACCUCUUUUGUCAGGGAACAAAGACUGGGACGCGUCCCCGGAUGAGUGUACCUGAAGAAAAAGCAUCGGCUAACUCCGUGCCAGCCGCCGCGGUAAUACGGAGGAUGCGAGCGUUAUCCGGAUUUAUUGGGUUUAAAGGGUGUGCAGGCGGUCUGUUAAGUCAGCUGUCAAAGCCCGGGGCUCAACCUCUGCCUGCCGUUGAAACUGGCAGUCUCGAGUUGGAGAGAAGUAUGCGGAAGGCGCGGUGUAGCGUUGAAAUGCAUAGAUAUCGCGCAGAACUCCGAUUGCGAAGGCAGCAUGCCGGCUCCACACUGACGCUGAGGCACGAAAGCGUGGGUAUCGAACAGGAUUAGAUACCCCAGUAGUC